rnacentral:rRNA from 1 species
UAAUACGGAGGGUGCAAGCGUUAAUCGGAAUUACUGGGCGUAAAGCGCACGCAGGCGGUUUGUUAAGUCAGAUGUGAAAUCCCCGAGCUUAACUUGGGAACUGCAUUUGAAACUGGCAAGCUAGAGUCUUGUAGAGGGGGGUAGAAUUCCAGGUGUAGCGGUGAAAUGCGUAGAGAUCUGGAGGAAUACCGGUGGCGAAGGCGGCCCCCUGGACAAAGACUGACGCUCAGGUGCGAAAGCGUGGGGAGCAAACAGGAUUAGAUACCCUGGUAGUCCACGCUGUAAACGAUGUCGACUUGGAGGUUGUGCCCUUGAGGCGUGGCUUCCGGAGCUAACGCGUUAAGUAGACCGCCUGGGGAGUACGGCCGCAAGGUUAAA